rnacentral:rRNA from 1 species
AUGAUACGCGAAGAAACCUUACCAGGUCUUGACACUCCCCGCCGAUGCUUUAGUAGAUAAAGCGGAGGUAUUCGGGGAGACAGGUGGUGCAUGGUUGUCGUCAGCUCGUGUCGUGAGAUGUUGGGUUAAGUCCCGCAACGAGCGCAACCCCUAUUGCUAGUUACCAUCAUUAAGUUGGGGACUCUAGCGAGACUGCCAGUGAUAAACUGGAGGAAGGUGGGGAUGACGUCAAAUCAUCAUGCCCCUUAUGACCUGGGCUACAAACGUGAUACAAUGGCUGGAACAAAGGGAUGCGAAGCAGUGAUGUGGAGCGAAACCCAUAAAAACAGUCUCAGUUCGGAUUGAAGUCUGCAACUCGACUUCAUGAAGUCGGAAUCGCUAGUAAUCGCGGAUCAGAACGCCGCGGUGAAUACGUUCUCGGGGUUU